rnacentral:lncRNA from 1 species
UUUUCAAUUUAUAGAGUAUUAUACCUCAUUUGUAAGUUAGUUCUACAUGUGGAUUUUCUUUUUGUAUUUUUUUAAUUUCGCCAUUUUUUGAGUAUUUGUCAUCCUUUUUGAGUUUGUGUCACUUUUUUUUAUUUUUUUUUAUUUUGUCACUUUUCGAGCGUUUGUUAUUUUUUUAUUUUCUAUCACUUUUUUUUUUUAUUUGAGUCACUUUUUAAAAUUUGUAACCUUUUUUAAAUUCCGUCACUUUUUUGAAUUUUUGUCAAUUUUUUAGUAAUUGUCUCUUUUUUUUAUUUUUUUUUUUUUUUUUUUUUUUUUUUAUUUUUUUUUUAUUUUUUUUUUUUUUUUUUUUUGAAUUUUUAUCACUUUUUUUUAGUGUUUGUCACUUUUUUUCAAUUGUCUUUUUGAAAUUUCUACCACUUUUUUAGUGACAAACAUCAAUUUUAAAUAAAAGUGGCAUUAUAUGUAGAUACUAAACUCUUAAAAGUGACGUUGUUUACUUUUUAAUUUUACAUAGUAUUUUUUACUUCCAAAAACUUUUCAUAUAAUUUUUCAGAAUACAUAUAAUUUUAAGGGUAUUUUUGUAAG